rnacentral:rRNA from 1 species
ACGCUCGACACCUACGGGGGGCAGCAGUGGGGAAUAUUGGGCAAUGGGCGAAAGCCUGACCCAGCAACGCCGCGUGAGGGAAGAAGGUUUUUCGGAUUGUAAACCUCUGUCCUCAGGGACGAAGGACGUGACGGUACCUGAGGAGGAAGCCCCGGCUAACUACGUGCCGNNGCGCCGUAAUAUNGNGGCGNGNGAGAG